CCUCCAGCUUUGACAGCACAUAUCUGAGUAAGUUGAACAGGUGAGGAAGCAUCAAUUAUGAAGUCACCCUACCCUGGCUAAUAAUAAAAAUCAAUACAAUUCUGUUAUAACUUAAGUGAUGUUUUGCUUUCUGCUUCAGACACACCCGUUGAAGAAGAAUCAGGGGGAUGCAAUUCAAGAAACUUGUUCUGUAAGCAGGGCACCAGAGAAUUUUCUCCAAUUGCAUAUUCAUUGUCAUGUGAUUCCUCUCCAUUAAUACCAAGUUGACCAUCCAUACAGUAGUCAAGGAUGCAGAUGCUAGUACAUAAUAUAAAUUCAACAAACUUCUAGAAGUCAAAAC
rnacentral:lncRNA from 1 species